ensembl:lncRNA
AACAACCAGAAAGGGAGAAGGAGAUGUGAAGGCAGAUGCAGGGGCAGAGUAAUGGCCUGCGAGGACUCAGCCUUAAGCUCCUGGCUCAGAAGGUAGAGAAAGGGGUGGUGAGCCGCGAAGGUGGGCAGAUGCUAGACAUGAUGCUAGACGUCCUGGCCCUGGAGAAGACCCUCCAGAAGGAAUGCAGCCUUGCAGACACCAUGAUCUUAAGCCCUGGAGACACGUGUUGGACUUCUGACCUCAGAACUGUAAGAUAAAAGAUUGGUGCUAUUUUAAACGAAUCAAUUUGUGAUAGUUGUUAUGGCAGCAGUGAGAAACUGAUACAGACGUUCCCUGCCUGUUUUUGUUCAUUUCUGACACUUACCAUGCAGUACAGGUUCAUUAACGAUUUGAGGAAAGAAUAACGAGUAAAUGAAGGAGACAGAAAGACACACGAGUCUGGGUUCCUUGGCUGCCACUGGGGAGUGGACCCAGCCACGAACUGUCAGCAUCCAAUACUCCCGGCCGCUGGAGGCUGAGUACCUGGUCCAGGAGGAGGAUGUGGGCACCCACCACAGGAGGUGCUGAGGAAACAGCAAUGAACAAAAUCUAGAAUCCUGUCAUCAUGGAACUUAAACUGUAUGGAGGGAGACAAACAGCAAACACAUUAAGCGUUAAGGAUGCCAGAAGCUGCUAAGUGUUACAGAGAGAAAUAAAUAAACAGGAACAAGGGAGGGCCCAGUGGUGCUGUGCAGGACAUGUGUCUAUUUUCAAUAAGGGUGGUCAGGGAAAGCCUUAAUAGAAGAGGUGAGUGAGUGAGGGGGGAGAGAGCAAGAUCAAUGCAGCUGUCUAGGGGAAGAGAGUCCCAGGCUGAGGAGGCAGCAGGUACAAAGGCCCUGAGGUGGAAACACACUGCCGAGUUUGAGGGUUUGCCUGGAAGCCAUAGUGGAUCAAGCGGAGGGGGCAGAGGAAAAACUAGGGCAAUCGAGUUAAGGCCGAGAAGGGUGGGGGUGGAUCAUGUAGGUCCCCACAGGCCAUUGCAAUGAUUUUGGCUUUUAGUCUGGAUUCUGAGAGAGAUGGGAGGCCAUGAGUUUUGAGCAAAGAAAUGGUAGGAUAUGACUUUGGUUUUAGAAGGUUCACUCUAGUUUUUGGGAAGAG